rnacentral:rRNA from 1 species
UACGUAGGGGGCAAGCGUUGUCCGGAAUCAUUGGGCGUAAAGAGCUCGUAGGCGGUCUGUCGCGUCGGAUGUGAAAACCCAGGGCUCAACCCUGGGCCUGCAUUCGAUACGGGCAGACUAGAGUUCGGUAGGGGAGACUGGAAUUCCUGGUGUAGCGGUGAAAUGCGCAGAUAUCGGGAGGAACACCAAUUGCGAAGGCAGCUCGCUGGGACGUCACUGACGCUGAGACGCGAAAGCGUGGGGAGCAAACAGG